ACAUGGAGCAAUGUGACAUAUGGGUAGAACCUGCACCUAUUUGUUGUAGCUCUCUUCACAUGUUAGAUUGUGUCAUAUACCUAGGGAAGCAUGUAGGUGAUAGGUCUCUGCCAACAAUGGAUAUUAUCACUUAUCUCUGGGUUUAUAAGCUAGGUAAUUUGUGUCUCCUGCCUGUGCCCUGUCCCCAGAGGACAUUGUGACAUGUUGUUUGGCUUAACAUCUAGACUCUGCCAAGAGAGGGGAUUAUUACAUAUUGCAGAGCCCAGCACCUAGGUGGAGUGACUCUCAUCUUUUUCUUCUACCCCGUAUAUAGCCAGCUUGGUGACCUACUAUUUGAGUCUAUACCCAGGCCCAGACCACAGAUGAAAUUGUGCAAUAUGUGGAACAAACACCUAAACAAUAUAUAACACCUUCCUUGGCUCUGUCUACAAAGGGCACUUUUAUAUAUCACUGGGACCAUCAACCAGGUGAUGUUAAUUAUCUUCCUGAAACCUGUCUACAAAGAGAGUUGUGUCGUAUACCUAGGCCCGUCAUGUAAGUGAUGUCAGUCCCUUCUACUGCCUUGGCCCUGCACUUACAGUGCAUUGUGACACAUAACAAGGUACUGCACACAGACGAUGUGAUUCUCCUUUUUGGGUUCUGCCAAAAGGAAGCAUUGUAAUAAAUCGCUUGGCUCAGUA
ensembl:lncRNA LINC00293 long intergenic non-protein coding RNA 293